rfam:Lepisosteus oculatus unplaced genomic scaffold TNK118, whole genome shotgun sequence.
GGAACGGUGUCCAAGUGGCAAAGCGUCGGUCUCGUAAACCGAAGAUCGCGGGUCCGAACCCCAUCCCUUUUU